rnacentral:misc_RNA from 1 species
UUGGCGGUUAAAGCUCCG